rnacentral:rRNA from 1 species
GAUGAACGCUGGCGGCGUGCCUAAUACAUGCAAGUCGAGCGAACAGAUAAGGAGCUUGCUCCUUUUACGUUAGCGGCGGACGGGUGAGUAACACGUGGGUAACCUACCUAUAAGACUGGGAUAACUUCGGGAAACCGGCGCUAAUACCGGAUAACAUUUGGAACCGCAUGGUUCUAAAGUGAAAGAUGGUUUUGCUAUCACUUUUAGAUGGACCCGCGCCGUAUUAUCUAGUUGUUGAGGUAACGGCUUACCAAGGCGACGAUCCGUAGCCGACGUGAGAGGGUGAUCGGAGAAAGUGGAACAGAGACACGGUACAGAGGCCUAAGGGAGGAAGCAGUAGGGAAUCUGACGCAAUGGGGGAAAGCGGGACGGAGAAAGGCGGCGUGAGUGAAGAAGGGUUUCGGGGCGUAAAACUCUGUGAUUAGGGAAGAACAAAGGUGUAAGUAACUGUGCACGUAUUGACGGUACAUAAUCAGAAAGCGAAGGCUAACUACGUG